CCUACGGGAGGCAGCAGUGGGGAAUAUUGGACAAUGGGCGCAAGCCUGACCCAGCAACGCCGCGUGAAGGAAGAAGGCUUUCGGGUUGUAAACUUCUAUUCUGAGGGACGAAAAUGAUGACGGUACCUCAGGAAUCCGCCACUGCUAACUACGUACCAGCAGCCGCGGUAAGACGUAGGUGGCAAGCGUUAUGCGGAUGUAUUGGGUGUAAGGGGCGAGUAGGCGGGAAAGCAAGGCAGAUGUGAAAACUCAGGGCUCAACCCUGGGCCUGCAUUUGAAACUGUUGUGCUUGAGUGCUGGAGAGGCAAUCGGAAUUCCGUGUGUAGCGGUGAAAUGCGUAGAUAUUAGGAGGAACACCAGUGGCGAAGGCGGAUUGCUGGACAGUAACUGACGCUGAGGCGCGAAAGCGUGGGGAGCAAACAGGAUUAGAUACCCGGGUAGUC
rnacentral:rRNA from 1 species